ensembl:miRNA
GGUUCCUACAGUGAGCCCCCGUUCUCCUCCUGUCAAGGUGGACAACUGAGGUUCCUGCUGAAACUGGACC